rnacentral:rRNA from 1 species
GAUGAACGCUGGCGGCGUGCCUAAUACAUGCAAGUCGAGCGAACGGACGAGAAGCUUGCUUUUCUGAUGUUAGCGGCGGACGGGUGAGUAACACGUGGAUAACCUACCUAUAAGACUGGGAUAACUUCGGGAAACCGGAUCUAAUACCGGAUAAUAUUUUGAACCGCAUUGUUCAAAAGUGAAAGACGGUCUUGCUGUCACUUAUAGAUGGAUCCGCGCUGCAUUAGCUAGUUGGUAAGGUAACGGCUUACCAAGGCAACGAUGCAUAGCCGACCUGAGAGGGUGAUCGGCCACACUGGAACUGAGACACGGUCCAGACUCCUACGGGAGGCAGCAGUAGGGAAUCUUCCGCAAUGGGCGAAAGCCUGACGGAGCAACGCCGCGUGAGUGAUGAAGGUCUUCGGAUCGUAAAACUCUGUUAUUAGGGAAGAACAUAUGUGUAAGUAACUGUGCACAGCUUGACGGUACCUAAUCAGAAAGCCACGGCUAACUACGUG